AACAAUGUUUGACUGUCCGUUUUAUAUGAAAUUUUUUUAUAAUUAGUAUUUUCAUUGUUGUUAGAUGAUAAAACAUAAUUAAUACUUUAUGCGUGACUUAUCUUUUUAAUUUUUUUCAUAAUUUUUUCAAAUAAGACAGACAGUCAAACGCUGGACACGGAAACC
rnacentral:pre_miRNA from 1 species